UUAUAAACUUGAUAUCAGUGAUGAGUUUAAGCGAGUAAUUGCAUCUUUACGAGCCAAUGAUGGCAAAAUACGUACGUGUUGUGUUGAACAAGGCUGACCAAGUCAAUACCCAACAGUUGAUGAGAGUUUAUGGGGCACUAAUGUGGUCGCUUGGAAAAGUUCUGAAUACUCCUGAAGUUUCUCGUGUUUAUAUUGGCUCAUUCAAUGACAAACAUAUUGAUGAAGAAACUUCCAGCCCAAUGUUCUGUGAUCUUUUUGAAGAAGAAUAGAAUGACCUUCUCAUGGACUUGCUUGAUAUUCCUAAGAAAGCUUGUGAUCGUCGAAUCAAUGAGUUUGUGAAGCGUGCUAGAGCUGCUAAGAUCCAUGCCUACAUAAUAAGGAGAUGCCUUCUCUAAUGGGCAAGACUGAGACUCAAAAACGCCUUAUCAAUAAUCUUGAAGAUGAAUUUGCAAAUUCAGAAGUGAAACAGAGUGGUGUGAUGAAGGCAGAAGGGUGUUCGUUGCAAGAAGUGCUGUGGUAACGCGUACUUGUCUUAUGUAAAUAUAUUUUAUUACAUGCUUGUUAACAUAACAUUUCGAGCUUUGCUGAAAAGCUUGCUUGGAUUUUAAGCAUGAUUGCCAGUUUUUGAAACGGAUGA